GGGGAGGAACCAUGGCCAAUUGAUUAUUAGUUACAUUUCUACGUCAGCGGGCUGCGAGAUAAUCAAGUAUGUAUAUUAGGUCUGGCACCUGGAUUCCACUGGAAUCAGAUCGAUGUGAUACAAUGCAACGGAAAAUCUAAUCUCUAACUUGCAGUUCAACGAACUUGGAAGAAAAGAAGACGAGGGCUUCGACUGCUUAAGAACAACAAUCAGGAAAACAGGUCUAAGUACUUUAGCUAAGAUAUAUGGUUGUGGAUCAUAUUUUAAGAUUUAUUAUCAAAAAGGUUAGAUUUUAGCUGAAAAAUAUUUGCAAAUAUUUCAUUUCAAUAAAACGGAUACAAUUAUAAAAUCAAGGUCGUAUUUUUAGGUAUCUCAAUAAAUGCUACAUUCGAAAUAUAUACAUAAAUACAUGAGAUCUUAAAAAUUUGUCACCAUUAUAUGGUUAAUGUAUAUCUUUUAAAGUGAGUCAUGAAAGAAGUGUCAUAAUUUUGAAUUAAAAUAUUUUAAUUUAAGUUAUAUCAGUAGAAAAGCUUAAAAAUUCCCUAGUUUUACUUUUAAGGAUACCUCUUGGCUUGUUUAUGGAUCUUGUAAAUGGGCAAAUUCAAUAACAACUUUAUUAGGCGCUAGACUGUCUGGUUAUCAAGUGGUUAUCACAAAACUUUCGGACCGGACCGGUGGAUAUGAUCAGUCGCACUGGGUGCUCAACGAACGUUUAAGUGUUUCACUGCGCGACGAGGGGCUUUUAUACUUUCUGAAGGGCCACUCAGCUGUGCGGCUUAUCAGGGCGAAAUUUAUAAUAAUAAUAAUAAUAAUUUAUAACAAAACAAAACGGCAAACACAAACAUGAGAGUGCCCCCACCAAGUGAUACUUUCUGGGCGGCGAUAAGCCGGGUGCACAGCUGCCAGACGCUGGCCAGCCAGAUUGGAUUGUCCGGGUGGACUGCGACUCCCCCUCCACGAGGCUGAUGAAAUCGUCAGAGCGCCGCAGUGCGUGCUUCUGGCUUCCGAGUGACUCUGAUCGGGAUGUCGGCUCUGCUAAGUCGUCGUCGAUAACCUCUGGACGCCGCAUAGGACCAACACUACAAGAUGUACUUGGUUGUUGACUCUGUCCUCCUCAAAGGAAAAUGGGGGAGCUUCCGACUGCACACAAUAGAUUGUGGUCCAAAAAUAGGUUUACUGAUGUAGAAGAACAAAAUAAUGUGAAACCCCUUUUCUGGUAAACAAACAGCUAAUGAACAUGGAAAUAAGAUGACAUAACAAAAGAUACGAUAGGAUAUCAAUCAAAUACCUCUUAACAAGGUGAGACUUAGGUGACGAUUAAGAAUAACAUGAAGAUUAGGAAUACAAUUAAAAAAGGAGUGAGAGAGGCUUUCAUUCAGUAAAAAAAACAGGUAA